UUGUUUGCUUUCGUAUAUAUAUAUAUAUAUAAAAUUAACAAAAAAACAAUUCAUAUUGUGAAAUAAUCAGACGAUGGAGGAGUUGCUAAACGAAGUGGUGCCCCAGGAGGAUUUAGAGAGAUUCGAAAGGAAGUACCUCCAUGAGUUUGAGCUCGAUGGGGAAGUCUCAACAGAAACAAAGUUUGAAUACGCUUUCUGCUUGGUCCGGAGUCGUUAUACAAAUGACAUUCGGAAGAUGGACGACGUGAUUAUAUUUAUUAUCUUGCCUUUGGAAACGCACGAAUUAAAAACUAUACAGAAGGCCUAAAGUACUGUAGAGCAUUUCUGGAUAUUGAAUCUAAUGAUCAAGUGCGGUCAUUAGAGGAAUACAUUAAAAAACAAAGCGAUAAGGAGGUUGCAAAGGGCAUUGCUGUGGCUGGAGGAGCUGCUCUUGUGCUUGGUGGAAUUUUGGG
rnacentral:misc_RNA from 1 species